rnacentral:rRNA from 1 species
UUAAAGGGCUGCAGUAUAUUGACUGUACAAAGGUAGCAUAAUCAUUAGUCAUUUAAUUGAUGACUUGUAUGAAGGAUUGGAUGAAAUAUAAACUGUCUCUUAAUUAUAUUUAGAAUUUAAUUUUUUAAUUAAAAAGUUAAAAUAAAUUAGAAAGACGAGAAGACCCUGUAGAGUUUUAUAAAUAAAAUUAAUUGAGAUUAUAUGUAAAAGUUAAAAUUAAGAUUAAUUUAUUUAUUUUGUUGGGGUGACAGAAAAAUAUAAAAAACUUUUUAUAUAUUUAAAACGUUGAUAAGUGGUUAAAUGAUCCAAUAUUAUUGAUUAUAAGAAAAAAUUACCUUAGGGAUAACAGCGUAAUUUUUUUUUUUAGUUCGUAUAAAAAAAAAAGUUUGCGACCUCGAUGUUGGAUUAAGAUAAAAUUUAAAUGCAGAAG